ensembl:lincRNA
UUUGUGUGUGAUCCUGGUAACACACAUGACAGGGCUACAUCUCCAGAGGAAAUGAGCUCAUAUUGGGAAGCCUGGCCUGGCUCCUAGGCUCAAAACAGACCGGGUCACUGGUGACAUCACAGAGCAAAGCCAGGAACCUAGUAACUGUGGCAGCCCAGGGGCCACUCGGGCCAGGACCAGCUGGAGGGCUCAGCACUGCCCAAGCCAACUCACAGCAGUGGCACAGAGCACCAGGUGUGGUUUCAAAUCAUGAGACGCCACUUCAAGGACCUUCGGGGAGAAGAUUCCACAACUGAUGGGACCACCCUCAGUGUGACCAGCCCCGAGUCCACAGAGGGCAGUCUGGAAAUGUUCUGGCCAGAAACCACAGAGGGGCCAGCGCUGGCCCGCGCAGACAACCUCUCCCCGAGGACGCGGUGGCGCAUCACGCUGGGCUGGAGCCCCUCCUCACCCUCAUCCGUGUCCUCAUCCUCCUACCGCUCCUACUCCCCGCGGCCUCCUUGCGGCCUGUGUGCUCAGGGGGACCCGGACCCUGGCCCACGAAGCGUGCCCGCGCUGUAUACCCGCGUGCAGACCGUGCGCGGCGUGGCUGUGGCCUGGGAGACCGAGGCGGGCUUCGCGCCCAUCAGCAGCCAGCCGCGCGUCCGAGAGGCCCAGUUCCUCGGGCGGCAGCGGCGGUGGGGCUCUUCCUUUGAGGUGGCCUCCAACACCGACCUGCGCGCGGACCUAGAGGCUUGCGGUGACGAGCAUGAAGGGGAGCCCGAGGACGACGCGGGACGCGAAGACGCGGAGCUGGAGCAGGAGCUGCGCGAGCCGCCGGACUCACUGGUCACCACCAGACACGGGCUGCGUUGUGUUGCCUGUUGCCGCGUCUUCCCCUCGCUGCCUGCGCUACUGGAGCACGCACAGCACGGCGUCCAUGAGGGCUUCAGCUGCCAGAUCUUUUUCGAGGAGAUGCUGGAGAGGCGGCGCGCGCAGGGCCGAGCGCAGGACCCCGAGCUUGAGGGCCAGGAGCCUAGCCCGGAGGUGGGAGGCGAGCAACGUGCCUGGCCUCUCGGCGAGGACCCUCGGUCACGCCAACAGCAGCAGUGAAGUACAGGGCAGGCGCCCCUGACCCUCUGUCCAGCUCCCAGGCCGGCCCCCCUUCCAGCCACCAGGAUCAGAGCCAGGGCGCAGGGGUAUGGAGCCCCUCCCAGGGCGCAGCGUUUCAAAACCCCCUGGGCAAAGAAGAGAGCUUGGGAGUGUUUCCGAUGGUGCAGGAUCUGAAGGCCGCGCAAGCCGCAGGGACUCCGAUUUUGCAGGGGGCUCUACAGGGUCCUUGCUUGCUGUACAAGAUGUGGAUCCCAGGCGAGCCCACUGCAAAUGAAGAUUCAGCUCUAUUUUUACAUUGUUAGGAAUCCGUCCUUUGCCUGAGUUCUAUUCUUAUGUUAUUGGGAUUAAACUUGAAUAACUCAUAGUGGAAGGCAGUGACUCUUUGAACCAUGCCAUCAGGUGGCAUCCGUUCUGUAGGUGACAAAGUGGCACAGAUGAUGGGAGGAAGGCAGCUCCACAGGGUGGAGAUGGGGCUAGGGAAGUCCUGAUCUGAGUUCCUGCGUGUCAUCUAUAGGUCUGUUAAACGUUGCCAUGAAGUUUGCCUGCACCCUCCUGCCAGGGGCAUUCCUUCAAGAAAAGACGUCAGUCUUGGCUCACUGUGUUAGGUACACCUGCCAAUGGCUGGGAGAAACCUUUAUUACAAAUGCUAGUGCCCAGAGAACUCUCAAAUUUUUUGAGACAUUGAAAUAUUUGCAUACAAGUAAUCAGAUAUUCAGGGAUGGGGGGCCCACAGCUAAACGUAAAAUUCAUUUGUGCUUCAUAUGCAUCUUUACAUAGUUUCCUGAUGGUAAUUUUAUUUUUAGUGUACCUGUGUUUUGCCUCUGACUGCACAAAGGAUUUUGGAAUAUUUUGGAUUUUUGGAUUACCCUGUACACCAAACUCCAUUAUUCCAGGGAAAGAAAGAACAGACACCAGGUCAGGGGUGGACCACAUUGAGGAGAAUGAGGGCACCCAGAAGUGGUCCCCACACACAGGCUGUUGGAUCCCAAUGAAAAACUUCCCAAAAGCAAUGGUGAUGGGGCUUGGAGGAGCAGUGAAUCAUGGAAGAGACUUUCUCAGGGACAGCAUUGCAGAUAUCACAGGUGAAUAGUUCUGUUUUGGGAAAUGCCCUCCACCCACCAGGUGCCACCAUUAGCGUUCCCUCCCCUUGCAGUUGUGACCAUUAGAAAUGUUUCCUGGGGACAAAGUUGUCCCUAGGUGAGAACCAAUGGGCUAGACAAAUAUGGGACCUUAGAAGAGGGAAUGACACAGGAUAUUUAGGGACUUGCUAGUCACUUGAUCUGGCUGCAGUGCUGGAGGUGUUUAUCUCUCCAAGCACUCUGUAAAAAUUUAGCACCUACCUGUGUCAGGCACUGCACUGGGGAUAAAGUGUGAACAAAGAAUGGAAAGCUGAUGUGGAUGGUGCUCUGUGAGCUUGGGUACCUUUUUUUUAAAAACUACCAACAGCCUUUUUUACUGUUUCUGUUGCCAUCUCUCAGUGUCCUCUGUUUCCACUCCAUGCUCUCCCUCCGCUAAGUGGAACACAACCCUCUAUCUUCCUUUGGCUGAUCCUGUGCUCACCUGGUGUUUCAGUCUUUGUGUCACUUUUCCAACGGGGCCUUCUUCCUCAGGCUGCCUUAGUGUAGUAUGCACAGCUAUCACUGAGAAGUGACAAGAUCAGGUUGACACCACAGAAAGGAGAAGUGGAGAGAUCACUAGGAGUCUCCUGCAGAAGUCCAGGCCAGGAAAGGUGGUAGCACUGACAAGGUAGUAGUAGAUCAAAAAGGGCUUUGGACCUUGAAACCCACUCCCCAUGACAAAGAGCUCUUGAGAGAUGUUAAGCAAGCUGGAUUUGCAUUUGUGAAAGAUCACCCUUUCACAGUAAAGGAUAGGUCAGAGCCAGCACUGCUGUGAACAAGGUAAAAGAGCUGGUGGCAGGAGGAAUGUGAGGGAUACUUGAGCAUAGCUAAUGUUUGAUGAAGUUGGUGAGAGUACGCUGUCCAGAAUUACUGUCAGCUAUUUGCGGGUGAGUGGUGUAUGUUGGUGCCAUUUGCAAAUAAAACAAUGGGAAAGAGAGAACAAGAGGGGAGAAGGAGAAAUGAGAAGGAGGAGGAGCAAACACUGGCUGGGAUGCUGAUUUGGAACAAGCUGAUUUUGAGACAGCAACAUCUGGAAGGAGGCUGGUUUUUGGUAACGAGGAUGGAGACAGAUUAGCUGAGGCUCAUGAGCCUUGUCUUGGUCGCAUUCCCCCUGCUGGUCCAGGGCAGCAGGAACCUGUGAGUCAGCUCAGAAUGGGCAUCAGCUGCAAGGAUGACAUCAGUCUUGUGAAGGUGUAGCUGAGGCCAGAGGCUUCUUCAACUUGCUGUGGGCUGGAAGAUUUAGAGGAGAGAAAAAGGAGCCUGACUGCGUCAAACUUUUCUUUGAAGAGAUUCAGGGUAUUGAAGGGGCUCAGUAGGUGGGAUGAAUCCAGGGACAAUCUAAGGGACAGGCAGGCUGCUGAGCCAAAAAAGUACUAAUGAGGGGAAUAUUUAAAUGUUGAUCAAAAUAUUGAACACUGAUGAAAAAAAUCAAUGGGUGAGAAAACUUACCAUAGUAGCAUAGUACUAAGGUUUGGAAUUUCAACCUUUAAAAGACAUAUUUAUAUGCUAAAUUCUGAUAUCCUAUGGGUUAGGCAUUGUCUUAAACAAUUUUUAAAUUAAAUCACAUGUGUGCUCUACAAUCCCAUGAGCUGUCACUUCUGUUAUUAUCCCUAUUUUAUCAGUGAGUGUGCCGAUACCUGGCAAGGUCCGAUGGCUUGUGUAGGGCAGAAUCAGG